UCCGCUUGAUCCUGCCGGACCCGACUGCUAUCAGAAUAGGACUAAGCCAUGCGAGUCAACGUAGUAAUACGUGGCAUACGGCUCAGUAACACGUAGUCAACAUGCCCAGAGGACGUGGAUAACCUCGAGAAACUGAGGAUAAACCGCGAUAGGUCAUAAUAUCUGGAAUGAUUUAUGGCUUAAAUCUAUAUGGCCCCUGGAUUGGACUGCGGCCGAUCAGGCUGUUGGUGAGGUAAUGGCCCACCAAACCUGUAACCGGUACGGGCUCUGAGAGGAGGAGCCCGGAGAUGGGCACUGAGACAAGGGCCCAGGCCCUAUGGGGCGCAGCAGGCGCGAAACCUCUGCAAUAGGCGAAAGCUUGACAGGGUUACUCUGAGUGAUUUCCGUUAAGGAGAUCUUUUGGCACCUCUAAAAAUGGUGCAGAAUAAGGGGUGGGCAAGUCUGGUGUCAGCCGCCGCGGUAAUACCAGCACCCCGAGUGGUCGGGACGUUUAUUGGGCCUAAAGCAUCCGUAGCCGGUUCUACAAGUCUUCCGUUAAAUCCACCUGCUUAACAGAUGGGCUGCGGAAGAUACUAUAGAGCUAGGAGGCGGGAGAGGCAAGCGGUACUCGAUGGGUAGGGGUAAAAUCCGUUGAUCCAUUGAAGACCACCAGUGGCGAAGGCGGCUUGCCAGAACGCGCUCGACGGUGAGGGAUGAAAGCUGGGGGAGCAAACCGGAUUAGAUACCCGGGUAGUCCCAGCUGUAAACGAUGCAGACUCGGUGAUGAGUUGGCUUAUUGCUAACUCAGUGCCGCAGGGAAGCCGUUAAGUUUGCCGCCUGGGGAGUACGG
rnacentral:rRNA from 1 species